UUAGCUCGGUGGUAGAGCGCUUGCCUAGGAAGCGCAAGGCCCUGGGUUCGGUCCCCAGCUCCGAAAAAAAGAAAAGAAAGAAAAAAAAAGAAAAGAAAAAAAAGAGCACUGGCUGCUCUUCCAGAGGUCAUGAGUUCAAUUCCCAGUACCAGCAUGGCAGCUCACAACCAUCUGUAAUGGGAUCUGAUGCCUUCUCCCGGUGAACAGACAAACAUGCAGAAAAACACCCAUAUUUAUGCAUAAAUAGAUCUUUUUAAAAAACUCAACAAGCAAAUGAUGAUGAUGAUGGUGGUGGUGGUGGUGGUGGUGGUGGUGGUGAUGACAAACUGCACAGUUAAGAAUGGGGUUUAUGAUUGAAACCCCAAUAUAUGGGAGGGGGUUCAGGAAGAUCAGAAGUUUAAAAUCAUCCUUGGCUACACAUUGAGGUUAAGUCCAAACUAGGCUACAUGAAUCCUAUCAAUCAAUCAAUCAAUCAAUCAAUAAUACAAACAAAAAGCUAGAUAUGAGUUUGAGACUAGCCUAAGUUAUACAGUGAGGUUCUGUCUCAAAAAUAAAACAGAGGGAAAAGAUACACAACUCAGGUGUUGACACCCACAACCAGAGGAUCAGUACACAUGGUGACCUGUGGGGCAGCCCAGGACCUGGAGACCGGAGGGGUCCGGAUACAGGAAGCUAGGCUUGGCUCUCCAGGCCUAUGGGGUGGACAGAGGAACCCCCUUGUUACAGUUGGAUAUUGGAUAUAGCUUCCUCAGUCUCUCCCUCAGUUUCCCUCUCUGUGGGGAUGGAGAAGACGAUGGAUGGCCUGGCUUUGUGGGGACAAACCGUAUGUGGCUAAGCAACUAACCGAAGGGGUUGGUCUGGUGCCGCUUGCACUCAAUGCUAAAUUCUGAACCCCAACACCCGGUUGCUCCAAGAUCCUCACAGAUACCAGCAUUUCUUAUGUAAACCUUGCUCCCCAACUACUGCGGAGGUGAGGUUUGAGUUUCAGGCCUGGAGAUCACAGGCAGGGAGCACAGAGGAGAGAAGAGAGAAAGAGAAGGAUCUCAGAGGAGGAGAAGGUGGUCUCUGUAAGUCGUGAUGGACCAGAGUGGGUACCUCCCCAGGACACCAGGCUGCUGGAGCAGAAAUAACCCGGAGAAUUUCAAACAAUUAUUUGUGGAGCACAGUUGAGGUAGUAGCCAGACUAUAGUUGAUAUUUAGAUUAGGGUAAUCCUCCAGUAACUAUGCAGAGCCUAAUACAUAAGUAAAUAUCAUAGCUUGAGUAUCAGUCAUUUAAAACUGGACAGGGAUAAGUUUAAUAAAUAUUAUUUCAGGGGCCAGUUUGUUGUAGUCAUUAUUAUGGGGGUUUGCUACACCCCUUUUUGAUUUUAUCUAUGUAUUAUCUAUCUAGACCAGACAGUUCCCAAAUCAAAGACACAAAAGCCUUUAGAUUUAUAAUAAGCUUAAAAGCGCCAAGGUUGGGCAGAUAUCAACCUUCUGUGCUCUUUUGUCUAUGUCCCUGUCAUAACCCCGAGAUGUCUCCUCACAUGUUCUGCCUAGGCCACUCCUACUCCAUGAGGUCAACCUUCAUGGCCAUGUGUUCACGAUCCAUCUACUCAUCCCAUGGUCAUUUCUUUCUUCUCCCUCAUUCUCCUGGUGCUCCCUGCCUGAGAAGCUCUCCCCUGUCUCUUCUGCCCAGCCCAGGCUGUGGGCAUCUGUAUUAACCAAUGAGGGCUAACUUAGGAAGGGUGAUCAAGGGGUACACAACAAGCCUGGUGUACAUGAGGAUCUCUGGGGCCAGUAUGCAGCAUUUUAAUAUACAGCAGCACCAGACCAAUCCCCUACAAUUAACAUUGUCUCCACCCAUACACAUACCCAGGCUGGAGAGAUAGCUCAGUGGUUAAGAGCCCUGACUGCUUUUCCCGAGGUCCUGAGUUCAAUUCCCAGCAACCACAUGGUGGCUCACAACCAUCUGAAAUGGGAUCUGAUGCCCUCUCCUGGUGUGUCCGAAGUGAGCGACAGUGUACUCAUAUAUACAUGAAAUAAGUAAAUCUUUUAAAAAAAAUUGUCUUCCCGCAUCCCCAUCUGCUUUGAAACAGAGUUUCGAUAUAUAACUCUGGCUGCCCUGGAACCCCCAGAGAUCCGGAUGCCUCUGCCUCCCCAGUGCUGGGAUUAAAGGUGUGCGUCACCAUGCCCCAGUGGAAUACUUUGUUUAUACUUCCUCCCUGCUUUAGUUUGUUUUCUAUCGUUUUUUUGUCCCGAAAUGCUGGGAAAGAACCCAGCACUCACAUGUUAGGCAAGUGCUCCACCAUUGAGCCUCACUCCCAAGCCCUCUUUUUACUUCAUUCCCAGGUUCAGGCUGGGCUUUGACCUGAAAUCCUCCUGCUUCCGUGUUCUGAGAUGCUGGUGCAGGUCUAUGCCACCAGGAUUGUCCCCUGCCAUCUAAAGGGAAGAAUGAAAGCUUGGUCUUCUAGGUCCCAUCCAAGCUCUGACACUGCAAUACCACAUGUGUACCCACUGUCAACCCCAUGACCUGGUGGCCACAUGUCCUCACACACAGGAAGUGGCUUCGGUGGAGGGUGGGUGACUGCUGAACACACCCCAUGCCUCCCUGUUGUUGGCAGGCAUCCCACCCAGGCAAGCCUGGGAAACAGCACCCGGGAAAGCAGAGGUGGGAAGAAAGGAAAUGGCUCGGAGGGAGAUGAGAAGCAGGUCAUGAAGGCAACCGGUGGCUUGGGGCUGAGGCAGGAGGCUCCUCAGUUAAAAGCAACACAAAACCCAAGGGCAGCCUGGGUAGCUUAGCAGGAACCUGACUGAAACAAGGCCCUGGGUUCCAUCCCCAGGAUCAAACCAUGAAAUGGAGUGGGGGUCCACAUGACGGAAAAAGAGCACCGACCUCAACAUGGUGUCAUUGCAUGUGAGUGUACACACACACACAUACACACACACACACACACACACACACACACACACACACAAAACAAAAACUGGCAGCUGGAGAGAUGGCUCCUAGGUUAAGAGCCCUGGCUGUGGGGCUGGAGAGAUGGCUCAGUGGUUAAGAUUGCUGACUGCCCUUCCAGAGGUCCUGAGUUCAAAUCCCAGCAACCACAUGGUGGCUCACAACUACCCGGUGUGUAGGAAGACAGCAACAGUGUACUCAUAUACAUAAAAUAAAUAAAUCUUUAAAAAAAAAAAAAGAGCCCUGGCUGCUCUUCUGGUGGACUCAGGGUUUGAUUUCCAGCACCCACACUGUGGUUCCUAAGAGCCUGUAACUCCAGUUCCAGGGACUUAGGUGCUGUCCUCUGGACUCCAAGGGCACAGGCAUGCAUGUGGUGCAUACACAUGUAUGUAAGCAAAGCUCUCAAAAACACAAACCAAAUACAUUGCGGGGGAGGGAGGGAGAGGGAAGGAGGGAGAGAGGGAGGGAGGGAGGGGGAAGGAGGGAGGGAGAGAGAGAGAGAGAGAAAUGGGAAGCCAGCAGGCAGCAGGGCUGCCAUGCAAUGCCAACUACUUGAUGUGCUGACAAAAGAGGACUGGAAGUCCCCAACCUGGGCUACAGGUGUAGUUGCAAGAGCUUGUCUCUGAAUAAAAGCCAAGAAAAAACUGGAGUGGCGGCUGUGUGAAGGUGCGACCCUGGCAGCCGUGAAUCCCUGGUUUCCCUCUCAGUACAGAAGAAAAGAGUGGGCAUCGGGGCAGGGGUACAGACAGAAAGCUGGGAGGAAAAGUGUCCUAGGAGCAGGAGACCUGGGGAGCAGUUAGGGGACAGGUUGAUCCCAAUGUGGGGAAGACAGCAGCAAGAAAAUAAUCCCAGGAACAGGAAUCCCAGAGGGAGCCCUUGGGAGAAGGGCUGGUGUGGGGGAUGGGUGAGUCACUUCCUUGAUGAUUCACCCACCACUGGGCUGGCUGCAUGCCAGGUUCCCAGGGGACUCCUGGGGUCAUACAUUAUGAAUAGGAUUGGUAGAGCAGGGCCAGUGAACUCAGAGGGUCCCUUGAAAGCUCCGUGUUUGUCUGACUGGGUUCCCUCAGGCCAUAGAGAGGCUUUGAGUGAAACUCACCCCCUCAAAGCUGGUGUCCUGAGGAGGGGCACUCUAGCCAGUCAGUUUCCCCUCAACUCAGAAUUCAAUUCCUCUUCCUCCUCUCGGGCCAUUGAGCUGAAUUUCUUCUCCCACAUCCAUCAGAACCCAGUUCCUCUUUGGGGGACAGACCACAAAAUGUCCUUCCCUUCAUGCUGGGCCCCAAGGGCAAUUCAGUUCUUAAAGUCCAGUACCAGUAUGUGUGUCUGUGUGUGAACGGCCCUGGUGCCUUCUACCUUGAACCUCGGCUCAUCAAGCAGGCUUGGCUAGGUAGCCAGCAAGCCCCAGGGAUAAAGCACUGUGAUCACAAGUGUGUCAUCACAUCCAGCUGCCUUCACACAAAUCAUUUACUGACCGAGCCCUCCCUCCAGCCCUCAAGUCACUUUUUUUUUUUUUUUUUUUUGGUUCUUUUUUUCGGAGCUGGCGACCGAACCCAGGGCCUUGCGCUUCCUAGGUAAGCGCUCUACCACUGAGCUAAAUCCCCAACCCCCUCAAGUCACUUUUGAAAAAAUAAUAUUGAUUUAUUUUUAGGUGCCUGGAUGUUCUGUCUGCAUGUAUAUUGCCUGGGGCAUAGGCAGGUAGGAAGAGGGCAUUAGAUGCCCUAGGACUGGAGUUACAAAUGGUUGUGAGCUACUGUGUGGUUCCUGGGAACUCUCUGACCUCUUCAGGGGCAGCAAGUGCUCCUAACCACUGAGCCAUCUCUCCAGCCCUUUAAGGGAUUUAAGUCUCAGAACCAUGGCCAGGUGUGGUGAUGCACAUUCUCAGUGCCAACACUGGAGAAGCACUGUGGGAGAACUCUGCUGGAGGCCAGCCGGGUCUACAUAGGGAGCCAAAGUUUUACAGGAAGACCCUAUCUUAGCAACAUGACAGAAGUAGGGGGAUAGUACAAAAUCAGUCACGGCUACAUAGCUACAGCGCCAAACCCUGUCUCAAAACAAAAACCGAAACAGACUCAAAAUGAAGCCAGACCUUAUUGCACAAAUCUGUAAUUUCAGCAGUCGGAGGUGGAGGCCAGAGGACCAGAGGUCCUCUUAGCCACCCUGAAACCUUGUUUACAAGAACAAAACAAGAAACAAAUAACCAAACAAACAGGACUCAGAGCAACAUCCAUCAGGAGAGUCAGGAGGGUCAGGAGGGUCAGGAGGUAGCCGGGGUUAUGUCCGAUAUACACAAGGAGAAACUGAGGCUUGAAGCGAGAAAAAAGAUGAAUGGUCCAACCAGGCCAGAGCAGGGACAAUAGACUGGAGUAACAGAGCUACCCAAGCCUGGAUGGGUUCUUCAUCCCUUGGGCUGGGCUGGGCUCUGCCCCACCAUCCUAAAGCCAUUGGCCAGACCGCCUACAUGUGGAGACUUGGAAAGUAAUCAAACGGGAGCAGAGCCGUUCCAUUCUGCUCCCAGACACAUCUGGUUCAAAUUCCCAAGCUCAGAUUGGAGCCAAGGGACUCCUUCUUAGGGAAUCCAGAAGUGGGGGGUAGGCAGCCUUUGUGCUGCCUGCCAGGGACAUCCCUGCAUCUCACCCAGAAAGAAUAAUCACAGUGAUAAAAGUGUCUACUUAGGCGUGUGUGUGUGUGUGUGUGUGUGUGUGUGUGUGUGUGUGUGUGUGUGUGUGUGUGGCGUGUUUUGAGACAGUAUCUCAUUGUGUAGUUCUGGCUGGCCUGGAACUUACUAUGUAGACCAGGUUGACCUCCAACUCCCAGGGUUACAGAAGCCUCCUGCCUCAGCCUCUUUGGUGCUGGGAUUCAAACCUUAGACACCAGCUAGCUAGGCUGGUUGGUUGGUUUGCAAGACAAGGUGCCAUGUGGCUUGAAACUCAGCAUGCAGCAGAGAACGAUGACCUUGAACUUCUGAGCCUCCUGCCAAACUACCUGGGUACCACGAUAGCAGACAUAGACACCACACACCCACACGUUCAGUUAAUUCAAACUGUAAACCAGAACGUUUGUAUACAAACUCCUGGCCCUUGAAACACUACGGUAAAAUGCAGCUGCUCUUGUUCCAUUUCCCAGAGGAGGAAAGUGCAACCCAAGGUCACUGUGACCCAGCCUAGUGACAGCCAGGCAGGCCUCUGCAGCUGUUUGCCACCAACUGUGACACGCUGGGACUCUUAUUUCCUGGCUCCAGAGCCAAACCACUGAGCUGCCUGCCACCUGCCACCAGCCACUACCACACAGGCCAGUCAUUGUGGUUAGGGCAACCCCGGUGUGUGACCCAAGUUCCAUAUCCUGGGGUAACUCCAGCUUGUGCCCCAAGUUCCAGUUUUUUUCUGUUUGUUGUCACGUUACUUAGGUAACUCAGCAGUCAGACAACGGUUGAGGCACCCAGGGUGGGGUGGGAAAGGAGACCAGGAGAAUCACAAUGAAAGCCAAGUUCAAAACACAGCCUGGUAAGAUCCCUUCAGCAAACAGCUCAGUCCCAGGCAGGUCCUGAGACAGCGACAGCAGGGGACGGUGUGUGUGUGUGUGUGUGUGUGUGUGUGUGUGUGUGUGUGUGUGUGUGUGUGUCAUGGUGGGUGGGGGAGAGUUCCUACCCUCAAAAAAAAAAAAAAUGGAAACCCUCACAAGGGUUUUACCUCACAUUAAGAGCGUCUGUAUGGCAAACAGUUUGCAAAGCGUACUUUAACCUGCACUUAUUUUUGUGUUUUACUACUUUACUACUGUUAUGUGUUUUGUCUGCAUGUGCCUUUGUACACUGCAUGUAUGUUUAUGUACUGCAUGUGUGUCUGUACACUACAUGCCUGGUGCCUGAGAAAGCAGAACAAAGUGUGGAUCCCCUGGAACUGGAGUUACAGACGCUUGUGAGCCACCACAUAGGUGCUGGGACCCAACCAGGUCCUCUCUUAAUGCUCUUAACCUCGGCACCACCCCAGCCCUAGCCUGCAUUUCUUUUUCUUUUGGUCUUUUGAGGCAGGGUCUUGCUGUGUAACUCAGGCUGACCUGAAAUUGGUGACCCUCCUGCCUCAGCCUCCCUAAUGCCCUGUGACACCAUGCCCGCUUUGCCACCCCCUUUAAGUGUCUCCCAUGCCUCACUUUCCUCCUCUUAGCCUCCAAGUUGGCAACAUUCAAGCCCAUUAGGACCUGGCAUCCCCCUGACAGCCUUCUGGAGCUCACAGGACUCGCUGGCUUCUUUUCCAGGAGGGAAACUGAAGCUCAGAGAAGCCAGAGGCCAAAUAAGAACCAGGGGAGGACUGAGGAUCCUGCCGGGAUGACAGUCCCGGAACAAGAAAUGUCAAGGUCUGAAGAUGUGGCUCAGUGCGUGCAGUGUUUGCUUAACAUGCUCCAGGCCUUAAAGCCACGUAAACCUGAGGAGGACCGCUGUCCUGUAGUCCCAGCACUAAUCCGAGGUUCAACUCAUCCUCCCUUUUGUCGCUUUUGAAGCCUGCCGGUGCUACAAGAGACCUUGUCCCACAAAGAAAAAGUGAGAAUGUCAUGGUUGCGCUGGCCUUUACUAAUACCUGCAGUCUGCAAUCUGGAAAGCAGAGGCUAAACCCGAGACCAUUCUUGGCUACUUAGGAGUUCCAGGCCAGCCAGGCGUAGGAAGCAAGAGCCUAUCUCAAAAAUAAAAAAUAAUAAAUAAUAAAGGGGGUGGGGGAGUAC